rnacentral:rRNA from 1 species
GAUGAACGCUGGCGGCGUGCCUAAUACAUGCAAGUCGAGCGAUCAGACCUGGAGUUUCUUCCUCUGACGUUAGCGGCGCACGGGUGUGUAACACGUGGAUCACCCCCAUAUAUCACUGGUAUAAGCUCGGGAAACCGGAGCUUAUCCCGGAUAUUAUAUUGACCCGUAUGGUUCAAUAGUGAAAGACUUUCUUGUCGUCAUCUAUAGAUGGACCCGCGCCGCAUUAGCUAGUUGGUAAGGUAACGGCUUACCAAGGCAACGAUGCGUAGCCGAACUGACAGAGGGGUAGGCCACACUAGAACUGGGACACGGUCCAGGCGCCUACGAGAGGCAGCAGUAUGGAAUCUGACGCAGUGGGCGAGAGCCUGGCGGAGCAGGGGCGCGUGAGAGAUGAAGGUCUUCGGAUCGUAAUACUCUGUUAUGAGUGAAGAACAACUUUGAGUGUAACUGUGGACGUAGUGACGGUACCUGAACAGAAAGCCACGGCUAACUACGUG